GCGUUCCCUGAGAGGUAACACCCCAAAAUUCAGGCCCUGUCAAAGGUAUGUGUCCUGCUCAGUGGCUGCCUUUAAGAGUGGCAGUGCUGUGUAUAUGUGUCCAUGGGUAUUUAUGCAUGUGUAUAUUGAUUACAUGGAGAAAUAUAUA